rnacentral:lncRNA from 1 species
GUAUUACUAAUUUGAGGUUUUAAAAUUGAUGUAUAUAUUUUUUUAAAUAUUUCUGAAUUUACAGGAUUUUUUUGCAAAUAUGUAUAAGUUCAGGGUAUUUUUUGCAAAUGUACCAAUAUUUUCAGGCGACCGCCUAGGCGUCGCCUAGGGCGCCUAGGCGGCCAUGCGGUCAUGGCCAUCGCAUGACCGCAUGAACGCCUAAAAAAGCUUGAUCUCUAUACCUUCUUCCUAUAGACAGAGGUACCUUGCAAGUUUUGUCCACAGUCACAGAAUUCCCA